rnacentral:rRNA from 1 species
UACGUAGGGUGCGAGCGUUAAUCGGAAUUACUGGGCGUAAAGCGUGCGUAGGCGGUCCGCGAAGUCUGAUGUGAAAGCCCCGGGCUCAACCUGGGAACUGCAUUGGAAACUAACGGGCUCGAGUGUGGCAGAGGGGGGUGGAAUUCCACGUGUAGCAGUGAAAUGCGUAGAGAUGUGGAGGAACACCGAUGGCGAAGGCAGCCCCCUGGGCGUAACACUGACGCUCAGGCACGAAAGCGUGGGGAGCAAACAGG